UCUUCAUGUCACAGCAUGUAUAUGAUGAAUAAGAUGGACAAAAUCUUUGCACACAUGAGCUUACAUUCCUGUGACAACAACCAAAUAAGGUGUUUUCAGAAUAAGGCAUGGCAGUCAGCCAACAGCAGGCAUCAUCAGAGAACUUGGAAGAGGCUUGGAGGCAGAAACUGAAGUGUGAUGCUGCAUAUCUGGAGGAUGUGAACUGUACGUUUGCACACUGACAGGUGUAGCACAGUUCCUGAUAAGACAGAGGGCGCUCAAGGUGUGAUGUUUGAUGGAUGGAUGCUCACUUCAUUCAAUCCCACUUUUCCUGAGCACCUACGAUGAGCUAAGCUGAGCACGGGAACCACAAGGAAUAACCGAUCGAAGUGCUUGCCCUCAAGGAGUUCUGAGUUUAGUAAAAGGAGAAGGUGGAGAAGGUGAAACUCCCAGGAGUCAUAGGAGGAAAGCUGCUCUGGGACGUGGAGGUGUGAAUUGGGAUAACACCCUGGCCUGGCCUGCUGGUGGCCAGCACGGACU